rnacentral:rRNA from 1 species
GGACGACGCUGGCGGCGUGGAUUAGGCAUGCAAGUCGGACGGUAGGGCUUUAUCGUAAGAUAGAGUUUGAGAGUGGCGAACGGGUGAGUAACACGUAGGAAUCUACCCUUAAGACGGGGACAACCCAGGGAAACUUGGGCUAAUACCGGAUGAGAGUGCGAGAGAUUGCAUUUAAAAGGAUGGCGAAAGUUGUCGCUUAGGGAUGAGCCUGCGGUCUAUUAGUUAGUUGGUGAGGUAAGAGCUCACCAAGGCAAUGAUAGAUAGGCGGCCUUAACGGGUGGUCGCCCACACUGGGAUUGAGAUACGGCCCAGACUCCUACGGGAGGCAGCAGUCGAGAAUAGUCUACAAUGGCCGGAAGGCUGAUAGUGCGACGCCGCGUGAACGAUGAAUCCCUUCGGGGUGUAAAGUUCUUUUAUAUGUGAGCAGUGCUUCUUAUAUUAACAGUAUGGGGAGAGAGAUAUUAGCAUAUGAAUAAGCAACGGCUAACUCCGUG